rnacentral:rRNA from 1 species
CUGCUGCCUUCCGUAGGAGUUUGGACCGUGUCUCAGUUCCAAUGUGGGGGACCUUCCUCUCAGAACCCCUACUGAUCGUCGCCCCGGUGGGCCGUUACCCCGCCGGCAAGCUAAUCAGACGCAUCCCCAUCCUUUACCGGCCGAAGCCUUUGGUCAUGAAAAUAUGCAUCAACAUGACAACAUACGGUAUUAAUCCGCCUUUCGACGGGCUGUCCCAUAGUAAAGGGCAGGUUGGAUACGCGUUACUCACCCGUGCGCCGGUCGCCAU